GAGCACUGUCUUUGAACCCGUUUAGUCUGAUCCGUGACCACUUGGGCCAAGCUACAGUGCUAAAAUUAAAAGCAGGCUUGUUCAUAACUGGGGCCUCUUGGCCAUUCCCCUGGUGACCCUUUUAAAAGCAAGCCACAGCA